rnacentral:tRNA from 1 species
GCUCCAGUAGCUCGUGUAGGUCCAAGCACGCGCCUUCUAAGCGCGGGGUCGCAGGUUCGAGCCCUGCCAGGCGCGCCA